GGUUUGUAGCUCAGCGGUAGAAUGCUCACCUAGCGUGUGUGAGGCACUGGGUUCAAUCCUCAGCACCA
rnacentral:tRNA from 1 species